rnacentral:rRNA from 1 species
UUUGAUCAUGGCUCAGGAUGAACGCUAGCUACAGGCUUAACACAUGCAAGUCGAGGGGCAGCAUGGGAUUAGCUUGCCAAUCCUGAUGGCGACCGGCGCACGGGUGAGUAACGCGUAUCCAACCUUCCCCUUACUCAGGGAUAGCCCGGUGAAAACCGGAUUAACACCUGAUGGUUUCAUUAGAUGGCAUCUGACGAUGAAUAAAGGCUUACGGUAAGGGAUGGGGAUGCGUCUGAUUAGCUUGUUGGCGGGUAACGGCCACCAAGGCAACGAUCAGUAGGGGUUCUGAGAGGAAGGUCCCCCACAUUGGAACUGAGACACGGUCCAAACUCCUACGGGAGGCAGCAGUGAGGAAUAUUGGUCAAUGGGCGAGAGCCUGAACCAGCCAAGUAGCGUGCAAGGAUGACGACCCUAUGGGUUGUAAACUGCUUUUGUACGGGAAUAAAGUCAUCCACGUGUGGAUGUUUGCAUGUACCGUAAGAAUAAGGACCGGCUAAUUCCGUGCCAGCCGCAGC